rnacentral:rRNA from 1 species
UACGUAGGGCGCAAGCGUUGUCCGGAAUUAUUGGGCGUAAAGAGCUCGUAGGCGGUCUGUCGCGUCUGCCGUGAAAACCCGAGGCUUAACCUCGGGCUGGCGGUGGAUACGGGCAGACUAGAGGUAGGUAGGGGAGAAUGGAAUUCCCGGUGUAGCGGUGAAAUGCGCAGAUAUCGGGAGGAACACCGGUGGCGAAGGCGGUUCUCUGGGCCUUACCUGACGCUGAGGAGCGAAAGCAUGGGGAGCGAUCCGG